UGUUAUUGUUAAGUUUUAUUUGUAUUCACGAUGAGUAACUGUAACUUUAAAUUAAGAACUUUGUAAAAUUUGAAUGUUUCGAUAUCUGAUAAAUUGUCGAAGAUGUAUAACGACAUAAAUGAGUAUCUCUAUAACAAUAGAAUAAACUACCGGCUGUUGAUAAUAACCUAAAGAUUAUACUUUUUGUGUGUUCGAUCUGAUUGUUUCAAUAUCAGGGUUAAAUCUUAGAUAUAUUUAAUGAACUCAAAUAAAUUUUAGGUAUGUACCCACUCACUAAAAAAUAGAAAUGAAAAUAUGCAAAUUCAUCACGUUAUUUCAUUAAUCUCCUUUGUAGGAAGAUAUAUUUUGGAAGUUAUCUGUAAUUAUAGUUAUUUUACGUUAAGGUCUGUUAUUGAUAAUAGAUGGUAUAUUUACAGGAAUAUUCGUUUAAUAAGCCUACUCAUUAUUAUUUUGUGUGUAAUAAACUUAACUAUAAAUUUUUAUUGUCAAUUUCCUAUUAUCGUAAAAGAAUUCUAUUCUAGAGAUGCUAUGUUAAAUCAAACUAAUUUCUGAAUAAAUAGCUAUUUAAAACAUAUACGUUUAUAAAUAAGACUAUCUAGAAUUAAUCUAACAUAAUCUUUUAUAAGAAUUUAAAUAAGAUAUAAUUAUGGUCGUUUGUGGUUUUUGAAAGACAAGUUUGUCGAUCCUACCUAAAAAUCUUUGCUCAACUUAAUAGGAGUUUCGGUAACAUAUAUUUCGUCGUAAUGAUUAGGUAACCCUAGUAUAAUUCGUAACGUUUUAAACAAUUUUCUGUUAUUGUUAAGUUUUAUUUGUAUUCACGAUGAGUAACUGUAACUUUAAAUUAAGAACUUUGUAAAAUUUGAAUGUUUCGAUAUCUGAUAAAUUGUCGAAGAUGUUUAACGACAUAAAUGAGUAUCUCUAUAACAAUAGAAUGAAAUACCGGCGGUUGGUAAUAACCUAAAGGUUAUACCUUUUGUGUGUUCGAUCUCAUUGUUUCAAUAUCAGGGUUAAAUCCUUAGAAUAUAUUUAAUGAACUCAAAUAAGUUUUAGGUAUGUACACACUCAUUAAAAAAUAGAAAUGAAAAAAUGCAUAUUCAUCAUGUUAUUUCAUUAAUCUCCUUUGUAGGUAGAUAUAUUUUGGAAGUUAUCUGUAAUUAUAGUUAUUUUACGUUAAGGUCUGUUAUUGAUAAUAGAUGGUAUAUUUACAGGAAUAUUCGUUUAAUAAGCCUACUCAUUAUUAUUUUGUGUGUAAUAAACUUAACUAUAAAUUUUUAUUGUCAAUUGCCUAUUAUCGUAAAAGAAUUCUUUUCUAGAGAUGCUAUGUUAAAACAAACUAAUUUCUGAAUAAAUAGCUAUUUAAAACAUAUACGUUUAUAAAUAAGACUAUCUAGAAUUAAUCUAACAUAAUCAUUUAUAAGAAUUUUAAUAAGCUAUAAUUAUGGUCGUUUGUGGUUUUUGAAAGAUAAGUUUGUCGAUCCUACCUAAAAAUCUUUACUCAACUUAAUAGGAGGUUCGGUAACAUAUAUUUCGUCGUCAUGAUUAGGUAACCCUUGUAUAAUUCGUAAUGUUUUAAAAAAUUUUCUGUUAUUGUUAAGUUAUAUUUGUAUUCACGAUGAGUAUCUGUAAGUAUAAAUUAGGAACUUUGAAAAAUCUGAAUGUUUCGAUAUCUGAUAAAUUGUCGAAGAUGUUUUUGAAAGAUAAGUUUGUCGAUCCUACCUAAAAAUCUUUACUCAACUGAAUAGGAGGUUCGGUAACAUAUAUUUCGUCGUCAUGAUUAGGUAACCCUUGUUUAAUUCGUAAUGUUUUAAACAAUUUUCUGUUAUUGUUAAGUUUUAUUUGUAUUCACGACGAGUAACUGUAAGUUUAAAUUAAGAACUUUGGAAAAUUUGAAUGUUUCGAUAUCUGAUAAAUUGUCGAAGAUGUAUAACGACAUAAAUGAGUAUCUCUAUAACAAUAGAAUAAACUACCGGCGGUUGGUAAUAACCUAAAGAUUAUACCUUUUUGUGUUCGAUCUCAUUGUUUCAAUAUCAGGGUUAAAUCUUUAGAUUUAUUAAAUGAACUGAAAUAAGUUUUAGGUAUGUACCCACUCAUUAAAAAAUAGAAAUGAAAAAAUGCAUAUUCAUCAUGUUAUUUCAUUAAUCUCCUUUGUAGGUAGAUAUAUUUUGGAAGUUAUCUGUAAUUAUAGUUAUUUUACGUUAAGGUCUGUUAUUGAUAAUAGAUGGUAUAUUUACAGGAAUAUUCGUUUAAUAAGCCUACUCAUUAUUAUUUUGUGUGUAAUAAACUUAACUAUAAAUUUUUAUUGUCAAUUGCCUAUUAUCGUAAAAGAAUUCUUUUCUAGAGAUGCUAUGUUAAAUCAAACUAAUUUCUGAAUAAAUAGCUAUUUAGAACAUAUACGUUUAUAAAGAAGACUAUCUAGAAUUAAUCUAACAUAAUCAUUUAUAAGAAUUUAAAUAAGAUUUAAUUAUGGUCGUUUGUGGUUUUUGAAAGAUAAGUUUGUCGAUCCUACCUAAAAAUCUUUACUCAACUUAAAAGGAGUUUUGGUAACAUAUAUUUCUUCGUAAUGAUUAGUUAACCCUAGUAUAAUUCGUAACGUUUUAAAAAAUUGUCUGUUAUUGUUAAGUUAUAUUUGUAUUCACGAUGAGUAUCUGUAAGUAUAAAUUAGGAACUUUGAAAAAUCUGAAUGUUUCGAUAUCUGAUAAAUUGUCGAAGAUGUAUAACGACAUAAAUGAGUAUCUCUAUAACAAUAGAAUGAAAUACCGGCGGUUGGUAAUAACCUAAAGAUUAUACCUUUUGUGUGUUCGAUCUCAUUGUUUCAAUAUCAGGGUUAAAUCUUUAGAUAUAUUUAAUGAACUCAAAUAAGUAUUUGGUAUGUACCCACUCGUUAAAAUAUAGAAAUGAAAAAAUGCAUAUUCAUCAUGUUAUUUCAUUAAUCUCCUUUGUAGGUAGAUAUAUUUUGGAAGUUAUCUGUAAUUGUAGUUAUUUUACGUUAAGGUCUGUUAUUGAUAAUAGAUGGUAUAUUUACAGGAAUAUUCGUUUAAUAAGCCUACUCAUUAUUAUUUUGUGUGUAAUAAACUUAACUAUACAUUUUUAUUGUCACGUUAUUUCAUUAAUCUUCUUUGUAGGUAGAUAUAUUUUGGAAGUUAUCUGUAAUUAUAGUUUUUUUACGUUAAGGUCUGUUAUUGAUAAUAGAUGGUAUAUCUACAGGAAUAUUCGUUUAAUAAGCCUACUCAUUAUUAUUUCGUGUGUAAUAAACGUAACUAUAAAUUUUUAUUGUCAAUUUCCUAUUAUCGUAAAAGAAUUCUUUUCUAGAGAUGCUAUGUUAAAUCAAACUAAUUUCUGAAUAAAUAGCUAUUUAAAACAUAUACGUUUAUAAAUAAGACUAUGUAGAAUUAAUCUUACAUAAUCAACUAUAAAACUUAUAAACUUAUAAACCCACUUAUAAAAGUAUAGAAAUAAAAAAAUGUAUAUUCAUUAUAUUAUUUUAUUCAUUUUCUAUGUAGGUGGAUAUAUUCAUGGAGUUAUCCAUAUUCAAAGUUAUUUUAUGAUUAUGACUUUUAAGUUAUAAUAUAUCCAUAUGAAUAUUCGGACAAUAGGCCCACUCAUUAUUAUUUUGUGUGUCAUACUUAGCUAUCAAUAUUUAUUGUCAAUUUCGUAUAAUCGUAAAAGUAUUCUUUUCUUGUGAUGCUAUGUUAAAUAAACUAAUUUAAAAAUACAUUUCUAUUUAAAAGAUAUUUGUUUAUAUAACAAGACUAUCGAGAAUUUUUCUAACAUAAUCUACAAUAUGAAUUCAAUUAAGAUAUGAUUUAGAAAUGGUCGUUUGUGGUUUUCCAAUGUUUUUUGUCGAUCCGACCUAAAAAUGUGUACACGUCUUAUAGAUCUUUUGGUGACAUAUUUCGUCAUUUAUGAUUAUCUAAGCCUAAAACAUUGCUUAACGUUUUAAAUAAUGUUUUGUUAUUGGUUUUUAUUUAUUGUAUUCACUAUUAUAGUCAAAAGUAUUGUUUUAAGAACUUUACGUUAUAUGAAUGUGCAGAUAUCCGAUAUACUGUCGAAGAUGUAUUUAGACAUAAUGGUUUUUCUCUACAACUGCAGAGGAUCAUUUUUCAACAUUUAAAGAUAUAACAUUUUCUAUUAAGUUCAGCGAAUAGAUUUCUUGAAUGAUAAAAUAAUAGGCAAUUUUAUGUUGUAAAUUGUAUUUAAGAUAUAAUUUACAAAUGGUCGUUUGUGAUACAGAUUACAAAUCUUCUUAAUCUCAAACGUAAAAAAUAUUUAUGAACAUUUUAAAAUAAUAUUUAAAUGUUAUGCUAUUCCAAUCGUUUUUUUUAGUUUUGAAAAUGGAAUGGCAGGUAGUUAUUUUUUUUUUAGAAUAUUUGCCAGUUUUUGAACUGUUUGAGCAUUUACUAUUAUGACAUAUAAUUUGAGUUUUUGAGAUUGUUUCAUGAAUAAAAUCAUAUUUUUUAUCCCGAUAUUUCAAUCGUUGAUGUUUUUUCGGUUCAUUAGUUAUUCAGAUGAAAGAUCGGUGUUUUUUAUGCAAUUAUAUCUAAUCUUUGUCUGUGAUAAUUCCCAUUUCUACAAGAAUUCCUUUUAAUCAUAUUCCUUCUUGAAUCGCAGAUUUUCAAAGCUAAUUAGUCUGCUUCAGUUGAUUACAAGGCUACAGUUGAUUAUUUUCUAUUUGACACCAACGGACUAUGGAACCAAAAAUUAGAUACAGAUAUCCAGAAGUAGAUUUUUGGUCAUUAAUAUUGUCAACAAAAUUAGUUUCAACAAAACCUUGAAGUGGAUCUAUGUUAUUGUUCUUAAUGUAGGUCAAUCCAAAAAAAAAAAUAUUGCCCUUUAAAUAUCCUUUUUACUCUUUUCAAGUGAUUUAAAUGAUCUUCAUUGGCUUUAGAUUGAUAUCGGUUAUAAUAAUUUACUGCUGUACUAUUGUCUCGUCUGGUUUGAAUCAUCACAUACAUCAAAGAUCCCACAAGUUCACGAUUUGGUUUACUUAUUGAUCUUUUUUCUUUAAAUUUUAAUUUCCUCUCCAUCGGUGUUAAUAUUGAUUAACGUUUAUUUAUACCAAAUUUAUGUAGUAGGCUUUCAAGAUAUUUUGUUUGACUCGUUUUUAAAAUAUUAUUAUUAUUAUUUUUAUAUAUGUUCAAUUUUAUUUCCUAAGAAGGAUCUUGCAUCCCUUUGAUCUGUUAACUUGAAUUCUUCACUAAGUAGUUUUCUUAAAUUGUUUACUUCCUUCAUCGAGUUACCUGCCACCAGCACAUCAUCUUUAUACAACAAUAAAUACAAAUUAUUGUCAUUAAUUCUACAUACAAACAUUGAUCGGAUUUGUUUCUUGUUAAACCUUGUUGACAUAUGAAAUUAUUAAAACGUUUAUUUCAACAGUUUAAAGAUUUUUUAAGACCAUAGAGUGAUUUAUGUAGUUUGAAAACCAAACCACUUUCUUGGUCAAAACCAUCAGGUUGUUUCAUGUAAAGUUCUUCCUCUAAAAUAUCAUUGAGAAAAGCUGUAGUCAUAUCCAUCUGAAUGAGGUGUAGAUUCCUUUGAUUUACUAUUGCAAGUAGGGUUUAUAUUGUAAUGAUAUUCACUACAGGUAAGUAUCAGUAUAAUCAAAACCUUUUAUUUGUGUAUAUCCUUUAGUUACUAAUCUAGCUUUGUAACUUAAUGGAUUUCCUUCUUUAUUCAAUUUUAAUUUGAAUAUCCAUUUAUUUUUUAUAAUAUAUAAAUAUAUUUAUAUACAUUAAAUAUGCAUGUAACUGCAAGCAGGAUGUCUUUAUAUCUAUAUCUACUUAAAAUAUGUCAUUAUUUCUUUUAAAAUACGUUUAAUUUUAUUCACUAAUGAAGAACACAUUUUAUGUAAAUAUUUUACAAGCAUAUUUUCGUUUUGAACCAAAUAUAGGUACGUUUUAUUUAAACAUUUUGAAAGAAUAUGAUGUCGUGUAUACAUACAAUUAAUUAAAUUAGAACUUGUAUUAUUUUUAUUAGUAUUAUUAUUUUAAAUAUCUUGUGCAUUAGGUUAUUUAGUAUAGAAGUUUAGUUUGAAGGAAUUCAUAUGUAACUUACGCAUUAUUUAUAAAAAUAAAAAUAAAGUUAAGUUAGGCUUAUAACAAAUUCGAAGAGGUGUUCCGUAAGAGAUCGGCUUUUAGCACUUUUAGGUGUUCGAUAUUCAGGUUUGAAUUUAGGUAUAUUGGUGGCUUGGGCAACAUUUAACUUUGAAUCUUAUUAAGCAACAUACAUUUAAUGUUAUUAUAAUAAUAUAUAUAAAAUAUUCUUUAUGCUUUAAGAAGAAAUACUAAUUUUUAUUAUUAUUUUUCUUGUGCAUGUGCAAAUUUCUUAAUAACAAAGUUUAUUGUUGUAAUUAAACCAGCUUUUAUGUUCAUAACUAUUAAUAUUUGAAGAGUCUUUCUUGCCUACAUUGGACUUUAGGUGUUAUUGUAUCCGUCUGAUCGUGGUUUAUAAUCACUCUCAUUUGAACAGUUAUAACUACAAUGCAUUAUAACAUUUUUAAAGCAAUGUCCAAUAUAAGGAUAGAUAAUAAUAUCUACCUAAUACUUAAUCGAUUUGAAUUAACUGCAACUCUCAUUAUUAUAAUAUUUAUAUAUAGGGUAGUCGUGCAUUUAAAACUAUAAAUAUCAUCUGGUGUAAUUGGUACAUAUAUUUAUUUGUAUAGUUAAAUGUUUUAUGUGUAGGUAAUUAAUUUAUCUUAAAAGGAUAUUGAAUUUAUUUGAAAUAGGACAAAAAUACAAUUUCUUUUAUAUAUAAAAACAUAUAUAUAUAUAAGGGUGGGUGGGUGGGUAGGUAGGUAGGUAGGUAGGUAGGUAGGUAGGUAGGUAGGUAGGUAGGUAGGUAGGUAGGUAUGUAUGUAUGUAUGUAGGUUAUAAUGUGUUUGCUCGUUUGCUAAAAUAAUAUUUCUUUAUAGCAUUUGAUUGUUGAAUAUAUAAUAUUUAUUAAUUUUUUUUUAGUUUGUGACUCCAUUUAUAGGUUUAACAAAUUAAGUUUUUGGUGUUUUUUUAAGUGGUUGCAUAUUGAAUUCAGUUCUUAUAUAGGUACUUUAUUUAUUUUUUCUUAGUACCAUAUUAUAUCAAAAAAAUUAUUCUGCUCUUCGUUUGUGAGAUUUUUUAAAUAAAAUAUUAAAAUAAUAUGUUCAAUUAGGUACCUAAACAAACUUGAUAGUAUGUGUAAUUGCCAUUAUUUUUUUAUAAGGUGUUUCAAAAUAUUUAAAAUAACGACUUUUAGAGCUACAUUAUCAUCAUUAUUAUUAUUAUUAUUAUUUUUGCUUAUUACUAUUAUUGUAUUUAUACCAUUUUACUUAUUAUUAUUAUUAUUACUAGGAGUUACAUUAGAUGCUAAUUUCUAUAGCCAAUUUCUAUUUUCCAAUCGCUAAAGCAAUUAAAAAAAAUAAAAUAAAUAUGGUUAUUAUUAUUUGUCUUGAAUCCAUGUAUGAUGCAGGAAUGUAGACUGUAUUAUGAUACAAUGAACUAUAAUAUACAUUAUAUCAAUUAAUUCGUGUAAUUGAACUCACAGUGUACCAAAUAUAUCAAUAGUUUUUAAUUAUAUUACAUAUAUGACAAAUUACUUUUUAAAAUAGAUAUUUUAAUUUAUGAAUCUCUGAUUUUUUUUUUUGUUGUAAAUAUGAAGUUUUUAAACGGUUUUCUCACAUUUAUUUGUUCAGUGUGUUAUAGUAGGAGGGAUUAGAAAUAAAAUGCACUUUCCUUUUAAAAUAUUAUCAUACCCAUAUUCCAGCUGAGUUAAAAUAAAGUAAGACAAAGUCUAAUUACGUAUAAUCUAACAGGUCUUAAACAAUUUUUUUGAAUAUAAUUAAUUAGAGUAUCUAAAAUUUAAUUUUUUUAAAAUUUCAAUGUGUUUUGUUUUAAUAUUUUAUAAAUAGACGAGUUGGUUUAGCAUUAUUACUUCACAAUAAACAGUAUUUAUGUAGAUAUUUCAAUAAUAGAUGAAAAUCUUUUAAGUAUCAUUAAUAUUUUUCAACAUAUUAUAUUAUAUUUUACAUUCAAAUAUUCCAAUGUAGUAUUGUUUUGCUUUUAAUAUUAGAUUGAUAAAGAUGUAAUAUGUAAGAUGUAAGGUGAACAUAGUUCAAAAUAAAACGUUUUAUAAAAAUGUUCAUCUAAAAUUAUGUAAGUAUUUAAUUAAUAACGAUAUUAACGUAUAAAAGGAAAUUGUAUAUUUAGUAAAUAUUCAGAAUAAUAAUAUAAUGUAGUAAUUUAAUGGAUGUACUUAUGAUAUAAUUUGAAUUUAUUUAUUUUCAAUUAAUUAAAAGUUUUGAGUGCAACAUGUACAUGCGUAUUCAAACAUAUGUCCAAACAUAUUUUUGUUUUUUUAUUCAUCAUAUCACUUCAGUUAUUAUUUUAAUAAUUUUUUUAUGAACUUUAUGUAUUUAUUUUUUUAUGAACUUAAAUACAUAUUGGCAAAGGAAAAAGUUUUAUUUUUGCAAUAUAAAACUGAUAAAAGUACGUAACAUAAUUUUAAAUUUUUUAAAUCUUAGAGUUCUAUACUUUUCGGUUUAUAGCUUUAGGUUUAUUAAAAAAAUUACCCAAUCUGACUAGUAAAGUGACAUUGUGAUCGUGCCACUAUAUUACAUCUAUUUUGGCUGAGAUAAUAGGUUAAGUUUGUAUUAGUUACAAUGUAUUGGUGUUGGACAAGUUAAGAAUUCUAACACAAAGUCGUUACUUUAGGUCACAGUUUUUAUAUGACUCUGAGGAGAUAUAGCAUAUUAUUAGCUGCGUAACCGUUUUUACAAUAAACAUGUUUAUAUUGAAUUCGAAUUAAUAUUGUGUUGGAAUUUUUUUUUGUUAAUUUAUUAUACGU
rnacentral:lncRNA from 1 species